UACGUAGGGACCAAGCGUUGUUCGGAUUUACUGGGCGUAAAGGGCUCGUAGGCGGCCAACUAAGUCAAACGUGAAAUCCCUCGGCUUAACCGGGGAACUGCGUCUGAUACUGGAUGGCUUGAGUUUGGGAGAGGGAUGCGGAAUUCCAGGUGUAGCGGUGAAAUGCGUAGAUAUCUGGAGGAACACCGGUGGCGAAGGCGGCAUCCUGGACCAACACUGACGCUGAGGAGCGAAAGCCAGGGGAGCAAACGGG
rnacentral:rRNA from 1 species